GUCCUCGUAGCUCAGUCGGAUAGAGCAGUGGUUUCCUAAACCGAAGGUCGGAGGUUCAAAUCCUCCCGGGGACGCCC
rnacentral:tRNA from 1 species